rnacentral:rRNA from 1 species
GCGACGGGUGAGUAAGCCUAGGAAUCUGCCUGGUUGUGGGGAUUACGUUCGGAAACGGACGCUUAUACCGCAUACGUCUACGGGAGAAAGCAGGGGACCUUCGGGCCUUGCGCUAUCAGAUGAGCCUAGGUCGGAUUAGCUAGUUGGUGAGGUAAUGGCUCACCAAGGCGACGAUCCGUAACUGGUCUGAGAGGAUGAUCAGUCACACUGGAACUGAGACACGGUCCAGACUCCUACGGGAGGCAGCAGUGGGGAAUAUUGGACAAUGGGCGAAAGCCUGAUCCAGCCAUGCCGCGUGUGUGAAGAAGGUCUUCGGAUUGUAAAGCACUUUAAGUUGGGAGGAAGGGCAGUUACCUAAUACGUGAUUGUUUUGACGUUACCGACAGAAUAAGCACCGGCUAACUCUGUGCCAGCAGCCGCGGUAAUACAGAGGGUGCAAGCGUUAAUCGGAAUUACUGGGCGUAAAGCGCGCGUAGGUGGUUUGUUAAGUUGGAUGUGAAAUCCCCGGGCUCAACCUGGGAACUGCAUUCAAAACUGACUGACUAGAGUGUGGUAGAGGGUGGUGGAAUUUCCUGUGUAGCGGUGAAAUGCGUAGAUAUAGGAAGGAACACCAGUGGCGAAGGCGACCACCUGGACCAACACUGACACUGAGGUGCGAAAGCGUGGGGAGCAAACAGGAUUAGAUACCCUGGUAGUCCACGCCGUAAACGAUGUCAACUAGCCGUUGGGAGCCUUGAGCUCUUAGUGGCGCAGCUAACGCAUUAAGUUGACCGCCUGGGGAGUACGGCCGCAAGGUUAAAACUCAAAUGAAUUGACGUAGGCCGCACAAGCGGCGGAGCAUGCCGUUUAUUCCAGCAACCGAAGAAGCUUA